AUUGAACGCUGGCGGCAUGCUUUACACAUGCAAGUCGAACGGUAACAGGGUGCUUGCACCGCUGACGAGUGGCGAACGGGUGAGUAAUGCGUCGGAACGUGCCGAGUAGUGGGGGAUAACGCAGCGAAAGUUGUGCUAAUACCGCAUACGUACUGAGGUAGAAAGUGGGGGACCUUCGGGCCUCACGCUAUUCGAGCGGCCGACGUCUGAUUAGCUAGUAGGUGAGGUAAAGGCUCACCUAGGCGACGAUCAGUAGCGGGUCUGAGAGGAUGAGCCGCCACGCUGGGACUGGGACACGGCCCAGACUCCUACGGGAGGCAGCAGUGGGGAAUUUUGGACAAUGGGCGAAAGCCUGAUCCAGCCAUGCCGCGUGUCUGAAGAAGGCCUUCGGGUUGUAAAGGACUUUUGUCAGGGAGGAAAUCCCUAGUGCUAAUACCGCUGGGGGAUGACAGUACCUGAAGAAUAAGCACCGGCUAACUACGUGCCAGCCGCCGCAGUAACAC
rnacentral:rRNA from 1 species